rnacentral:lncRNA from 1 species
AUGCCGGCCGAACGCUGCGCGACAAGGACCGAACAUGUCACGUUGAAAAAACGCGUAAACCCGACGAUGUAAACUGCACGGAACGAUUCAAAUUCGAGAAAUUUCUUAAACGAUUCGCACGAUAACAGUCAAGCAACGCGUCGUGUCGUUUCUACGACGAAAAACCCAACACCCAUUCAGGUUAAAGGCGGCGAAGGGAAAGGCAGGUCAAAAGCAGCGACGCACUGGCCAGGUGCGCAGACAUUCCACUCGCCUUGCGGUACGCUCACCCCGCUACCCGACCGCGAUUAUUUUCCACCUGGAGCGCCACGUUUACUUCUUCAUGGCGGACUCCUAACGAGAUUCGAUACAUCGAACCACCAAACGAUAGUCCGCGUAUGAAUGAAUUUCGCGAUGGUAACACCGCACAGGUAUCGCUCGAUCGUUUGAUUAGGAAAGCAUGCGGUUCGCUGUUCUCAUGGAGGCACGCUUAUUAUUCAUGUGACUGGACGGAACAAAAAUGGCGACCACCUUAAGCGAUUCCUUCGAGCAUAAGUAGCCUCCGACAACGGAUCACAGGUACGUACCGUCGCCUGUGCCCUCGAUUCGAUGCUCCCUCCAUAACAUGAUCACGGCCUUGAUAACGCGCGAACGUGUAUCACGCUAGUACUCGCGUAUCUUUCGCAAUUUCGCGAAUUUAAAUAAAAAAAGCAUCGUACCCCGGAUGUGUCUUCGUGUAGACUUCAAAGUCAUUAGAUCGAGAUAGGCUGUAGUGGGUACUCGUUAAGCAUGGAAUUAUCAAUACUGUCAUUUUACGUAGAACAUUUGCAUAAAUGCAUAAUGUUUUUUGAAUACUGGAUAUUUUAAUAAAUUAUCGACCUGCACUUCAAUAUUAAUGAAAGAACAUUUCCCAUGUUCUAUUAUCACAAUUUACUGUAACCUUGUUUGCUUAUUAGAUUUCGUUGUUAUCAUCGCUCGUUUGUAUGCAAAUUUAUAUUCCCCAAUUUUUAAACGAUGUUUUAAUUAAGAAAACAAAAUAUUUACUUAAACAGUGAUUUUCGUUAUUGAAAAAAUAAUCAAAUCGCAGAAACUUUUUAGAAUUAACAAAUCGGUGCAACGUGACAGAGACAUGGCACGAGAGAUAGAUGAAUAUUACAUGUUAUACAUACAGUUCGCGUUAAAUCGACUUAAGGAAGGAGAGUAAAGGAAAGCCAACGAGCAACAGGUUGGCACGAUCGCCUGCGGAUGGGGAAACGGGAGAACGAGAGGUGCCUAUGUAUAGACAAAGAAGCAGAAAACGGGAAAGCAAUCGUCGUUUGGAUAUGGUAGGAAUAUCCGUGAAGCGAAAUGCUUAGCGCUACGUAAGAGAGACGGUGUCGUGACAGGGAGACCGGAUUGGUUGGUCACCUGUUGCUUACCAACUGUGAUUGGUUGGGCUCGACAGCGCGUAACGACGACUAGAGGAGGACAAGUGCAUCGUCGCCUGGUCUAUGAUGGACCAAGUUCGAGAAUAGACGCUAUAAGGAUAUCGAUUUUGUAUAUUUAUUAUACAUUCGUACAUUUAUUCAUACGUGUACACUGUCGUCCUCAAAUUUAUUACCAUGAGAAACUAUGCAAGAUAUGAAGAAUGAAAUCUAGCAUGAAUAUUUGAUGGUAUAUAGCGUAAAAAUAAAGAUAAGGAUAAAAAUCUCAGAACAGGUGCGUACAUGGACAACGAGAAUCGUGUAAGAGCAAAGUUCUCGGCUCGAAGAACAAAGUCUCGAUCGGCAAUGUAAGGAGAGCCGGUUUACGAGAUCGGACUCUGAACCUUUUGUGUCGUAUUGAUCUUACACAAACGAGCAUCGUGACUGUUAUAAAAUAAACGUGGAUCCAAAGUACUUAUUCACAAUGGGAAGCAUUUUAUAGCUUCUUUAUAGUUCGUCCUCGGAACGGAAGUCGAAUAUUUUUUUUGAGCCCAAGAUAUCCUAUUUGGUACAUCAUGAUAUUUAUUUAUAUAUUAAAUGUGCAUUCACGAAACAAACGAGGGCGGAAGAGGAUGACGCAGAAGGGCGAAGCUCCUCGAGGGACACCUGCUAAACACCUGCUUUUUCGAAGGAGUUAAAGUUGACCCUGGCUAGUUCCUAAAGCUGUAAUACUACAAAGAAUGCUUUUGGUUCGAUCCAGAUUAACAAAAUAAUAUGAAUACAUUAUGAAUGCAAGAGGAAGAAUAACUCAUGCUCUUUUACGAUAGGAGGAAGGGGAGCGGAUUCACCGUUGCGCAGAACUUUCUCUCGGACGAGAAUUAUAUUCGUGCCUUUCGUACAUGUAUCUGUACAUAACUUUCAAACCAUUACAAAUCGCGACGAUUCUUCCGCGAUCAAGCGUUCCUGAUAUAUUUGGAAAUAGUAGCCGGUGCAAGGCUGAGUCGUUCGGGGAACGUGUGACCCGAUUUCCCUUGCUCGACAGAACCCUUUCGAAUGACGAAGUACAAAAUAAAGUUCCACUAAUACGAAAAGGCACCUCACCAGGUAUCAUGAUAAAGGAAAGGACACGAGAAGGCUAGAGAGAGAGAGAGAGAAAAGAAGACAGGCUGGUCGCUGACCCGCUCGGAACGUUGACUCCAUGUAGUCAGUCCCCUCUUUAUAUUUUCUUCCAUCCCACUUGCACCAUCUUACUGUACCUUCGAUUACAGCCACGAGUUACCUUUCCUUACUUUACUUUGCGUUACUUUACCACGUCCGCCUUUCUUUACCCACGGUUGCAACCACUAUAUUCCCUAGUCUUACAAUUGUUAUCAUCUUGCAGAUGAUCCCGGCGUCUUCCUUCCUACCUGUAUCUGCUUCUGCUUGCUUCGUCAACGAGUGGACUUAUAACCUUCGACUAAUUUCAAGGAAAUCGACAAUGUGCUCCAAUGGACAGCUAAAGCAGAUCAACAAUUCUAAUACAAUACUACUCUAAAGGAAAUUAAAUAUUCUGUUGGUUUCGUAAGACGGCUCUGACCUUGGCAAUUACGGUAAUUUCAAAAACGUGCUCACAAAUAUUCGGCCUAUGCAACAAUGCAACUGAUGUUAUCAACGACCACGACUCGGUAGAAACAACUAGCAUCGAGAAUGUACCGUUAGAAUCAUCAUCGUCUUUCUUUUCCUCUCUUUGUCUGUGUGGUGGCCAAGAUUCAAGAGUUAUUUGAUAACGGUACACGUUCGUUCUUCGAAGCUGGACUAAUUUUCUAUCGUCGAAAAGUCAAUCUACGCUUCAUCUGAUGAUUAUUAUUCAAAAUUUUCGUAAUGAUUCCGCAAAAAACUUGCUCGCUCGUUUCUUCUCCUACUACGUUUUUUCUUCUACCACCACCAUCACCACUACCACCAUUGAUCACCACCUCCUUCACUCCACAAACCAUCCGUCGGGAACCUCGGCUCCUCCCGCCGCGUGGCUCAAUUAUCUUCAUCAUUACGACCGCCCCUUUGGUGGUGACUUUAAAUUUUGUGUAUGCAUAUGUAGAUACAGAAAGAAAAAUAAA